rnacentral:rRNA from 1 species
UACGUAGGGGGCAAGCGUUAUCCGGAUUUACUGGGUGUAAAGGGGGCGCAGACGGCGAUGCAAGCCAGGAGUGAAAGCCCGGGGCCCAACCCCGGGACUGCUCUUGAAACUGUCUGGCUAGAGUGCAGGAGAGGUAAGUGGAAUUCCUAGUGUAGCGGUGAAAUGCAUAGAUAUUAGGAGGAACACCAGUGGCGAAGGCGGCUUACUGGACUGUAACUGACACUGAGGCUCGAAAGCGUGGGGAGCAAACAGG